UACAGAGGUCCCAAGCGUUGUUCGGAUUCACUGGGCGUAAAGGGUGCGUAGGCGGUCGGGUAAGUCUGAUGUGAAAUCUUGGAGCCUAACUCCGAAACUGCAUUGGAUACUAUUCGGCUUGAGGAAUGGAGGGGAGACUGGAAUGCUCGGUGUAGCAGUGAAAUGCGUAGAUAUCGAGCGGAACACCAGUGGCGAAGGCGAGUCUCUGGACAUUUCCUGACGCUGAGGCACGAAAGCCAGGGGAGCAAACGGG
rnacentral:rRNA from 1 species